CGGCCGGAGCGCAUACCUCUCCUUAUAUAUAUCUUCUUCCUAUCAUCUAGCAAGGGGACUCUAUUUACCUCACGCAUAACUCCUGUCAAAAGUCCAGAUCCUUCUUAUGAUUGACCUGCUAUUCUUUGGACUACUAGAUUAGCAUCUGCCGCUGAAGCACAGAUCUUGUGUUGGAAGGUGUAGGUACAACCUGGCAAAACAACCAUAUUUUAGUUUCGGACGUAUACCUGCUCUCUCUUUAGGUACUAUACCUACUGUCUUUUUUCUUCUUAUACAUAUACCAGCAUCACAGAUUGGAUGAAUAAUACGCUUCGCCAGUUUUCCUCUCGUUCCUGGCGGCUGCAACCCUAGCCACUGCCAGGGCCGAUCUUCCAACGCCGUUCUCCGGCGGCUCCCCUCCGCCGGCGACCUCGGUCGUCGGCGGUGAGGGGGGCCGCUGGAUCCACGCGUGUGGAUCAAUUUUACUCCCUCAUAGUUUGGGUUUUUAGGUUGUUCAUCGUCUUUACUUCGGUGGCGACGAUGGCGGCGCUGAAUAAAGAAUCUUCGGAUCUUCCCUGACGAGGCCAUCGGUCCUAUGGUUGGGGAAGGAUUUGCAAACCAGUCUGUUCAAGCAAGGAUGGUGUGGCGGUGGCGGCAUCCUCAUGGUGGACCUGUGUUCUCGUGCUCCGCCGUUGUGACGACGUUUGCUCCAGCGUCGACGUGGAACUUGGGAGGUAGUCCAGGAGCAGAUGCAGAUUGUGGUUUGCAUCGAC